rnacentral:rRNA from 1 species
AAGUUCGAUCCUGGCUCAGAUUGAACGCUGGCGGGAUGCUUCGCAUAUGCAAGUCGAACGGCAGCACGGACUUCGGUCUGGUGGCGAGAGUGGCGAACGGGGUGAGUAAUGUAUCGGAACGUGCCUAGUAGCGGGGGAUAACUACGCGAAAGGUAGCUAUCGCAUAUUGCCCUUCGGGGGAAAGCGGGGACCUUCGGGCCUCACCAUUAGAGCGGCCGAUAUCGAUUAGCUAGUUGGUGGGGUAACGGCUCACCAAGGCGACGAUCCGUAGCUGGUUUGAGAGGACGACCAGCUACACUGGGACUGAGACACGGCCCAGACUCCUACGGGAGGCAGCAGUGGGGAAUUUUGGACAAUGGGGAAACCCUGAUCCAGCCAUCCCCGCGUGUGCGAUGAAGGCCUUCGGGUUGUAAAGCACUUUGGCAGGAAAGAAACGGCACGGGAUAAUACCCCGUGCAACUGACGGUACCUGCAGAAUAAGCACCGGCUAACUACGUGCCAGCAGCCGCGGUAAUACGUAGGGUGCAAGCGUUAAUCGGAAUUACUGGGCGUAAAGCGUGCGCAGGCGGUUCGGAAAGAAAGAUGUGAAAUCCCAGAGCUUAACUUUGGAACUGCAUUUUUAACUACCGAGCUAGAGUGUGUCAGAGGGAGGUGGAAUUCCGCGUGUAGCAGUGAAAUGCGUAGAUAUGCGGAGGUUCACCGAUGGCGAAGGCAGCCUCCUGGGAUAACACUGACGCUCAUGCACGAAAGCGUGGGGAGCAAACAGGAUUAGAUACCCUGGUAGUCCACGCCCUAAACGAUGUCAACUAGCUGUUGGGGCCUUCGGGCCUUGGUAGCGCAGCUAACGCGUGAAGUUGACCGCCUGGGGAGUACGGUCGCAAGAUUAAAACUCAAAGGAAUUGACGGGGACCCGCACAAGCGGUGGAUGAUGUGGAUUAAUUGAUGCAACGCGAAAAACCCACCUACCCUUGACAUGUCUGGAAUCCCGAAGAGAUUUGGGAGUGCUCGCAAGAGAACCGGAACACAGGUGCUGCAUGGCUGUCGUCAGUCGUGUCGUGAGAUGUUGGUUAAGUCCUGCAACGAGCGCAACCUUUGUCAUUAGUUGCUACGAAAGGGCACUCUAAUGAGACUGCCGGUGACAAACCGGAGGAAGGCAGGGGGAUGACGUCAAGUCCUCAUGGCCCUUAUGGGUAGGGCUUCACACGUCAUACAAUGGUCGGGACGGAAGUCGCCAACCCGCGAGGGGGAGCCAAUCCCAGAAACCCGAUCGUAGUCCGGAUCGCAGUCUGCAACUCGACUGCGUGAAGUCGGAAUCGCUAGUAAUCGCGGAUCAGCAUGUCGCGGUGAAUACGUUCCCGGGUCUUGUACACACUGCCCGUCACACCAUGGGAGUGGGUUUUACCAGAAGUAGUUAGCCUAACCGUAAGGAGGGCGAUUACCACGGUAGGAUUCAUGACGGGGGUGAAGUCGUAACAAGGUAG